rnacentral:rRNA from 1 species
AACGAACGCUGGCGGCAUGCCUAACACAUGCAAGUCGAACGAUACCUUCGGGUCUAGUGGCGCACGGGUGCGUAACGCGUGGUAACCUGCCCUUAGGUUCGGAAUAACUCCCCGAAAGGGGUGCUAAUACCGGAUAAUGUCUUCGUACCAAAUAUUUAUCGCCUUUGUAUGGGCCCGCGUUGGAUUAGCUAGUUGGUAGGGUAAAAGCCUACCAAGGCGACGAUCCAUAGCUGGUCUGAGAGGAUGAUCAGCCACACUGGGACUGAGACACGGCCCAGACUCGUACGGGAGGCAGCAGUGGGGAAUAUUGGAAAAUGGGCGAAAGCCUGAUCCAGCAAUGCCGCGUGAGUGAUGAAGGCCUUAGGGUUGUAAAGCUCUUUUAACCGGGAUGAUAAUGACAGUACCGGGAGAAUAAGCUCCGGCUAACUCCGUG